AUUGAACGCUGGCGGCAGGCUUAACACAUGCAAGUCGAGCGGAGUGAUGGUGCUUGCACUAUCACUUAGCGGCGGACGGGUGAGUAAUGCUUAGGAAUCUGCCUAUUAGUGGGGGACAACAUCUCGAAAGGGAUGCUAAUACCGCAUACGUCCUACGGGAGAAAGCAGGGGAUCACUUGUGACCUUGCGCUAAUAGAUGAGCCUAAGUCGGAUUAGCUAGUUGGUGGGGUAAAAGCCUACCAAGGCGACGAUCUGUAGCGGGUCUGAGAGGAUGAUCCGCCACACUGGGACUGAGACACGGCCCAGACUCCUACGGGAGGCAGCAGUGGGGAAUAUUGGACAAUGGGGGGAACCCUGAUCUAGCCAUGCCGCGUGUGUGAAGAAGGCCUUAUGGUUGUAAAGCACUUUAAGCGAGGAGGAGGCUCUUUUGGUUAAUACCCAAGAUGAGUGGACGUUACUCGCAGAAUAAGCACCGGCUAACUCUGUGCCAGCCGCCGCGGUAA
rnacentral:rRNA from 1 species